CCUACGGGGGGCUGUAGUGGGGAAUAUUGGACAAUGGGGGGAACCCUGAUCCAGCCAUGCCGCGUGUGUGAAGAAGGCCCUCGGGUUGUAAAGCACUUUCAGUGAGGAAGAACGCCUGGUGGUUAAUACCCAUCAGGAAAGACAGCACUCACAGAAGAAGCACCGGCUAACUCCGUGCCAGCAGCCGCGGUAAUACGGAGGGUGCGAGCGUUAAUCGGAAUUACUGGGCGUAAAGCGCGCGUAGGUGGCUUGAUAAGCCGGUUGUGAAAGCCCCGGGCUCAACCUGGGAACGGCAUCCGGAACUGUCAAGCUAGAGUGCAGGAGAGGAAGGUAGAAUUCCCGGUGUAGCGGUGAAAUGCGUAGAGAUCGGGAGGAAUACCAGUGGCGAAGGCGGCCUUCUGGACUGACACUGACACUGAGGUGCGAAAGCGUGGGUAGCAAACAGGAUUAGAUACCCGAGUAGUC
rnacentral:rRNA from 1 species